AAUCCUAAAUCUUAUUUAAAAUACUCCAUACAUGGAACAACAAGUCAAUAAAGAUAUUGUAGUUCACAAACUCUUUAGCAAAUACCAUAGUCUAGUGUGAUCGUGACCUUAAGGACACUUACUCCUGGUUAUUUAGUUACUUUGUAAGCAUCUUACAGGGUUUCGUUGUUCAUAUUAAUGAUACGCAAACCCUAGAUCUUUUCAAUUGACUUAUCGAGCUUGUAUUUGCCAAUAUAUUAUGAUAUUCUAUACUGCUUUGACUUUUUUCUUUCACGUAUUUUGUUUAUCAUGAUAUCAUUUUUGAGAUGUGCAUAGCCUUUUCAACAAUUAUUUUAACACAGCACAACAUAACUUUCUGAUUGGCUUGUGAUGGUACAAGGUAGAACCUAAUCAAGAGUUCCAAGGGUUGAUAUGUGAGGGAGCAAGUGUACUUCCAGCAAAGCUUUUGGAGAAUGCAUUUCGUGAUCGAUAUGGGGACACACAUCACAAGCACGAAAUGUAUCCAAUAUAGUCCAAAAAAUUUCUUUUGCUUAUCAGUGUCUCGAUAUGAGUGGACUAUGACAUAACAUUAUAGCAAUGAACGCGCUAGUGGUAGAACUUCAUAAAAACCAACACUGAUGAUAACUAAACAGGCUCAGUCACUACAAAAGACAGUUCCUGAACUAUUUAUUUAUUUACGCUAGGCGGCUGCAGAGGUGUUCAGGAAAAUGAAUUCUUGAAAAUGUUUCAAAUGCCGGUUAUUGAAGUUCCCACAAAUUUACCAAAUAUUUGUCAGGACUUGCCUAUUCAAGCUUUUGCAGUAUGGUUUUGUAAUAAGCAUUAUGGAGUAAAAUAGAACUCUUGUUUCUUCUUUUUGUUUCCCAUGUGGCCGUGCAGAUUCACUACUUGCUAUUGUUUAAAUGAUGUUUCAGACUGCACGCGGAAAGUGGGAAUAUGUCCGAGAAGAAGUUGAAUAUAUGUUUAGGCUGGGUCGUCCUAUUCUAGUUGGAACCACAAGCUACAUAACAGAAGUUGGAGAUGGAUGGUGAAGGUGGGAAGAAGAAGCCAGAGACAUGACGAAGGAAAGGCUUACAACGUUGAUAAGACAUGGUUUAUCUGUAGUCAUUAUUGUUCAAGUCUACUUAAUCAUGAUUGUUGGAUUUGUUAAUAAAACAUGUGUCAAACACUUGUUAUUUGUUUAAUAGAAUUGCAUUUAAAUUUA